ACGAGGUAGAUAGGUCUGAGGUGUAAGCAUGGUAACAUGUUAAGCUGACAGAAACUAAUAGGUCGAAGGCUUGACCUU
rnacentral:rRNA from 1 species